rnacentral:rRNA from 1 species
AGAGUUUGAUCAUGGCUCAGAUUGAACGCUGGCGGCAGGCUUAACACAUGCAAGUCGAGCGGGGGAAGGUAGCUUGCUACCGGACCUAGCGGCGGACGGGUGAGUAAUGCUUAGGAAUCUGCCUAUUAGUGGGGGACAACAUCUCGAAAGGGAUGCUAAUACCGCAUACGUCCUACGGGAGAAAGCAGGGGAUCUUCGGACCUUGCGCUAAUAGAUGAGCCUAAGUCGGAUUAGCUAGUUGGUGGGGUAAAGGCCUACCAAGGCGACGAUCUGUAGCGGGUCUGAGAGGAUGAUCCGCCACACUGGGACUGAGACACGGCCCAGACUCCUACGGGNNNNNNNNNNNNNNNNNNNNNAUGGUCUAUAAUGCACAUCCAUCGGCGGUGAUGCAGAUAGAAACUUGUUGAAAAACAGUUACUUGUGAUUAGAUUGGUUGCUUUAAGUGAUGAAUUUGAUGAUGAGGUAGUUUGGAGAAUAAGUUUUAAAAAUAUCGAAAUUACCUGUUGACUUUUAAGAGAUUAAGAGUAAUAUAGCCGACCUAGCUUGCUGGUGACGAACCAGUAAGAAGAUCAUUAAGAGAAUUGAAGAACAACUUGUGUGGAUUUUUACUGAUUGAUUAAUCGAAAUAAUUUUCAUUGAUUGAUUGGUUUAAAUUACUCGAAGUUUAUUUGAGCGAAAUUUAAGUCAGUAAUUGAUGAGCCAGAAUUGGCACCUUGUCUAUAAAUAAGGUGCAAAAUGAUUUUAACUGAAGAGUUUGAUCAUGGCUCAGAUUGAACGCUGGCGGCAGGCUUAACACAUGCAAGUCGAGCGGGGGAAGGUAGCUUGCUACCGGACCUAGCGGCGGACGGGUGAGUAAUGCUUAGGAAUCUGCCUAUUAGUGGGGGACAACAUCUCGAAAGGGAUGCUAAUACCGCAUACGUCCUACGGGAGAAAGCAGGGGAUCUUCGGACCUUGCGCUAAUAGAUGAGCCUAAGUCGGAUUAGCUAGUUGGUGGGGUAAAGGCCUACCAAGGCGACGAUCUGUAGCGGGUCUGAGAGGAUGAUCCGCCACACUGGGACUGAGACACGGCCCAGACUCCUACGGGAGGCAGCAGUGGGGAAUAUUGGACAAUGGGGGGAACCCUGAUCCAGCCAUGCCGCGUGUGUGAAGAAGGCCUUAUGGUUGUAAAGCACUUUAAGCGAGGAGGAGGCUACUUUAGUUAAUACCUAGGGAUAGUGGACGUUACUCGCAGAAUAAGCACCGGCUAACUCUGUGCCAGCAGCCGCGGUAAUACAGAGGGUGCGAGCGUUAAUCGGAUUUACUGGGCGUAAAGCGUGCGUAGGCGGCUUAUUAAGUCGGAUGUGAAAUCCCCGAGCUUAACUUGGGAAUUGCAUUCGAUACUGGUGAGCUAGAGUAUGGGAGAGGAUGGUAGAAUUCCAGGUGUAGCGGUGAAAUGCGUAGAGAUCUGGAGGAAUACCGAUGGCGAAGGCAGCCAUCUGGCCUAAUACUGACGCUGAGGUACGAAAGCAUGGGGAGCAAACAGGAUUAGAUACCCUGGUAGUCCAUGCCGUAAACGAUGUCUACUAGCCGUUGGGGCCUUUGAGGCUUUAGUGGCGCAGCUAACGCGAUAAGUAGACCGCCUGGGGAGUACGGUCGCAAGACUAAAACUCAAAUGAAUUGACGGGGGCCCGCACAAGCGGUGGAGCAUGUGGUUUAAUUCGAUGCAACGCGAAGAACCUUACCUGGCCUUGACAUACUAGAAACUUUCCAGAGAUGGAUUGGUGCCUUCGGGAAUCUAGAUACAGGUGCUGCAUGGCUGUCGUCAGCUCGUGUCGUGAGAUGUUGGGUUAAGUCCCGCAACGAGCGCAACCCUUUUCCUUACUUGCCAGCAUUUCGGAUGGGAACUUUAAGGAUACUGCCAGUGACAAACUGGAGGAAGGCGGGGACGACGUCAAGUCAUCAUGGCCCUUACGGCCAGGGCUACACACGUGCUACAAUGGUCGGUACAAAGGGUUGCUACACAGCGAUGUGAUGCUAAUCUCAAAAAGCCGAUCGUAGUCCGGAUUGGAGUCUGCAACUCGACUCCAUGAAGUCGGAAUCGCUAGUAAUCGCGGAUCAGAAUGCCGCGGUGAAUACGUUCCCGGGCCUUGUACACACCGCCCGUCACACCAUGGGAGUUUGUUGCACCAGAAGUAGCUAGCCUAACUGCAAAGAGGGCGGUUACCACGGUGUGGCCGAUGACUGGGGUGAAGUCGUAACAAGGUAGCCGUAGGGGAACCUGCGGCUGGAUCACCU